UCCACUGUACCUUUUUCUAUCUAAUCCUUUACUACCCCAACUAAUACACUGAAAAUUUGUGGUCUCACAACAAUAUUUGAUCUUUUUCAAGGGUCCUCAACCACCUUUGGAGAACAAUAUGCAACAGCCUCUGCAACGGUGAGGAAGAUCUUGUCCUCUCCUAUUGUGUUUGCAAAAUUGGAUGCGUAAAGCUUGUCUGUCACUACUGGACCAGGAUUUGCCAGAACAAGCUUGCAUAAGAGGAAGAACAACUUGCGGAAGUCAUCGAACCAACAACAUUCAUUGCUCCUAGUGCAACCAUUUCUUUGUUUCCAUCCAGUUGAUAGUCCUUCAUAGAUGCAAAUGUUCUUCCAAUUGCCGAGGCUUCCUGGCCAUCGAAAUGUAAUGGUUUAAUUAGAACUACAGGAGUAAAAAGGACAACUCUUCAAGAGAGGUAUUGGUGUCAAAGUUACUCACAGUCAAUGCUAUCAAGCCUGCCACGAUGCCAAUUUUAAAACCUUUUCCAAGAUUUUCUCCUGUUAAAUAAAGAUCUUUAACAGAUGAUGGAUUGAUUCCUUUUUCUAUUUUUCUCACCUUCACAUAUCAAUGGACAAAAACUUCAGUUUUGAUGUAACUAAUAUUAUGACACUCUUGCCAUCAGUUGUUCCUAAAAUACGUUAUCAGUCUUUUGAUGAGAAUGAACAUAUACUUACAAUUUCUA